rnacentral:rRNA from 1 species
AUUGAACGCUGGCGGCAGGCUUAACACAUGCAAGUCGAGCGGGGAAAGGUAGCUUGCUACCCGACCUAGCGGCGGACGGGUGAGUAAUGCUUAGGAAUCUGCCUAUUAGUGGGGGACAACAUUCCGAAAGGAAUGCUAAUACCGCAUACGCCCUACGGGGGGGAAAAGCAGGGGAUCUUCGGACCUUGCGCUAAUAGAUGAGCCUAAGUCAGAUUAGCUAGUUGGAGGGGUAAAGGCCUACCAAGGCGACGAUCUGUAGCGGGUCUGAGAGGAUGAUCCGCCACACUGGGACUGAGACACGGCCCAGACUCCUACGGGAGGCAGCAGUGGGGAAUAUUGGACAAUGGGCGAAAGCCUGAUCCAGCCAUGCCGCGUGUGUGAAGAAGGCCUUUUGGUUGUAAAGCACUUUAAGCGAGGAGGAGGCUACUUAGAUUAAUACUCUAGGAUAGUGGACGUUACUCGCAGAAUAAGCACCGGCUAACUCUGUG